rnacentral:lncRNA from 1 species
CCUCGUCACCCAUGCAGGGAGGGUGCCUGGGAACUUCUUGCCUCACAAUCCCAGCCUCGGGUGUCGGGCAAACCUGCUAAAAUUCAGAGGCACUUUGGAGUCCUGAUGGCUGCGUGGUUACACGGGCUUCACCCGUUUGCCCUCUGCUGGGGUGGGAGGAUGGCGCCUCCCACUCAGGUGGGCAGGGGUGCCCACCGCAGCUGAGAGGAGUCCCACACAGGGCCUGAGUUCCGUCCCUCCUGACCUGCCAGACUCCCCCCGCCUUCUGUUGAGUGGCCCAGGAGGACGGUCACCUCUGGGCUUGAUGGCGUCCUGGAAAGGGGGGUCUGGCUCUGCUCAGAUGCAGGCUGCCUGGCCACUGAGACCAGGAGGUUUCCAAGAGCCCUGGCCAAGGGAGAACACAGGAGUGGGUGCUGCCUGGGCCGCAGCCCUCAGCACACCCAUGUGGCCGCUCCUGCUCAGCCUGCCGCAGAGUGGAGGCCUGAUGUGCACUGGGCCCCAGGAAGGCACCGGAGGAAGCCUGGAAAUGGGAGCUGGCGGAGGAGGCUGCUGGCCCCGCCCAGACAUGGUUACAGUGAACUUUCCUUGUUCACAGCGGGGAGCACACUCUAACCAUAGCAAGUGGGGUUUACACAAGACAAGCCAGCGGUGCCCUGUGCCCUGCAUUACCGCCCUGCUCCACAGGGUGGCAGUGCGGGGCGUCCCUACAGGGUCACGGCCCCAGGAGGCCUUGUGCUCCUUCAGGGCAGCCGCCACAGGAACUUCCCAGCUCCCUUACAGUCUUACGGGAGUGCCAUCGCGCCUGGUCCCUCCAUGACAGAAUGUCCUCAUGGGCGGCACACCUUGACUUCCGUCCUGGACGCUUCACCCCACAGCCUGCCUGAUCAUGGAGAAAACAGAGAGACCCAAGCCCUUCCUCGGAGCCACAGGGACGUGGGAAUGUUCAGAAAGGAGCAGGCAGAGCCGGAGGGCGGCGUGGCGCUCUGGAGGCCCCAGCCACACCGGCCGACUGUGCCCAGUGUCCACGGAGACCUAGGACGCGAUCAGCAGGACCCUGUGAUGGUUUCAAACUGUGAUGGUGACUCCAACGUUCCAAACUAGAUCUCACUUCAGGAAAGGAAUUCUGGAAGCGUGUGGAAACGUGGACGUCUCUCACCAGCGUUCAGCCGAGCAAGAGCAACCCCACGUGGAGACUCACCUGUCUCCAGAGUGAGCUCCUUGGCGGGACACUGUGGGGAUCCUGCCGGCUCCGAGGUGGAACAGGAGCAGCCGGCAGGGGGGCAGCUGGAGAUGCGCCUCCCUGACCCGGGGGCACAGGGUGCAGCCUCACUCAGGGAGCCGGCAGUGAAGCGGGUGCACCUGUGCCUGCCGUCACCCGUGUCACUUUGAUGUGACUGCACACGCACCCAUGUGGCCAGUGGGAGGUUAUUCCAGGCGGUGAACUGUGGCUCCACCUGGGGAAGAUCAAAGUAUCGGGACUCGCUGCCAGGAAGAGCCAGAAGACUCACCCAGUUCUCUUGAUGGGAGCGGAAACGUCACUGCACGCAGCUCGCAUCCGUGACUUUGUAAAAUAAAGGGACUUGGAGCAAAGGGAACUCGUGAGUCCUGAGGGGGACACCAGCAAACAGCCCCAUUACAAGCACAGCAGAGGUGAAGUAUCGCAGUCCCCCCAACCUGUACUGCAAUGAGGAUGCUGUGGUCACAGCGCCGUCACCGAUGGUCCCCUGAAGGUCCUUGGUGUGGCUGCAGCAGAACGAAGGGUGAGCCCUAAGCUGGGAGGAAGAGGCACAGCGCUAUUAGUCACCGUGACACGGACGUGCGUGUGGAAAAUCCCCAACACUAAACCGGGAAACUAUUGCAUUUCACAAGUGACUUUAGCAAGGUCGCAGGAGCUGAGGCCGACACGGAGAAAUCAAUCACGCUCUCCAGGACGGCAGCAAAUGGCAGCGGAAUUAUGAGAUGCCACCGAGAGUGGCAGGACCCGCCGAAUUCUGGGAAAGGAAAUCAAAGAGAGUGAGACGUCCAGGGCAAGCGCAGGGCCUUGCUAAGAUCCCAGAGGUCCCUGCGAGUCGUGGGGGAGGACGUCCACUCUCCCAUCACCUACGACUCAAGGGUAACGGCCAGGCAGACUUGAUUCCACACCACGAAUCAGAGAGGCUGGAGGACGCGUCUGCGGAGCGGAGCUGAGGACACUGGCAGAGAGGGCCUGGGCCCCCGGGUGACCACAGUCUGCGGCACUGGAGGCGGAAGAUAAGCAGAGAGAGCACCAGGAUGGAUCAGGGUCCGAAACGGACCCACAGACAUCAGGUCCACUCACUGAAGACGAAGGAGACGCUGAACUGCGCUGGCAGGCUGUGACCUCCCGCAGUGGACACCUGGGGACCUGAGUAUCCACAGGCAGAAAAUCACUGUGGACUCCCACAUGGUACUGCACCCAACAUCAACUUAAGACAGAACUUCAGGUUUAAAUGUAAAAGAAUAAGAUAAAAGUUUAGAGCAAACCAUGUUUAUAAUCCUGGAGAGAACAGAGAUUUUCUUUUACAGAUCCCAAACCUGCCCCUGCAGAGGGAACUUUGAUGAGCAAAUGAGGCCCCUGUGCGCACCACACAGGUGGAGAGAGGGGAACGGCACCCGUGGAGCAAGGCAGCCUCCCCAGUGCACGCACCCAGCCCAGGACUGGAAUCCAGGACACAGGCGGUCCCCAAGGCACUAAGGAACAGGCAGACCAGCACCAGCAGUGGGCAGGGCACUGGAGCGGGUCCUUCACGGAGGAGGACUUCUGAGUUACAGUAGGUGCAUCAUGCGUCGCUCAUCGGCAGCCAUGGGGGUAAAAGGUAAAACAGGUGCAUCCCGCCUUCGUCAGGGACAGCACUUCGAGACAUAAAAGGGUCAAGGGUCGGCAAAAGUGUGGACCAGCCAGAACCCUGUCACCCCACUGCUGGGAGGGUCAGCUGAGGAGAAAGUUAGAAACGUCCAAACUGUCAGCUCUCUGCCGCGCACCAGGCCCCUGCUCAGACCCACAGCAGUGCACGCCUGCAGGCAGGGGGUACAGGGGCACCUGAAGACCAGCAGGGCCUCACACCUGCACCAGUGCCCUGCAGACAGGAGGGACAGGGGCAUCUGAGGACACGUGCGGCCUCACACCUGCACCCUCCGUGUUAGCUGCACCCUCUGUGACAAUGCCUCAUGCAGAAGUAAAUUGGCGUAAUCCUUCCGCGCUGCUGCUCGGCAGUGGGCAGGUCCGUGGUGGAGGGCAGGGCGUGCGUGGGUAAGUCUCAUCAACAUAAGGCCAAGUGAUGGGAGCCAGAUAUCCGAGGGAACAUGCAUCAUCGGAACAAAGACAGAUUAAACUAAUCUAGGACUCUGGAAGUGAGCAGUGUUACUGUGGGAGGUGGAGCUGAUUGGGAGUGAGCGGGAGCGAGGCUUCUGAGAGCAGUGAUUUUUCAUUUCCUGAUGCGAGUUCUGCUUACUCGAGGGUUUAGUGUGUGCGGAUCCCGCGCUCCACACCAGGACAUCUGCCGUCUCCUGACUGUGGACUGUUCUUUAUUGAAAGUUGAAAGGAAAAUAUCCAAGAUUGUUUUGCUUAAAUUUGGUUCAAAACAUCUCACAGGGCCUCUGGCUUAGGGACCAGCAGGGACUGACCACUGUUCAGCAGCCGUGGCCUGAUCUUGGUCCUGUCCCUGUGAGGACCUCCUCCUCUGUCCUGGGCCCUGGCUGAGGCAUCUGCUUGGCCUGAGGGGGGUCAGCAGACGUGGGGACAGGGAGGCUUGGACGUACAUGGUGCCUCCUGUGCUCCCUGCAUGUUGGGCAUGCUUCUAACAUGAGGCUGUGCCAGGGUCACCUGAGGUGGGGACACCUGGGGACACAAAGGGAGCCAAAGCCAUUCUAGAGCAGUAGUGGCCAGCUCACCCAGACACAGGAUCCCAAUUGAGGGGAGCAGAGCUCCCCACUUAAGCUGCAGCUAUCCACAGGCCUGGGCAGGAGCCCGCGACAGUCAGAACCGCCUCGCUGAGCCUGCGGACCAUGAGCAGUGGCGAUGGUCUUGGCUGGGCCAGCGAGGUGGGGGAUGGCUGUUACCCAGCACUCCUGUGAAGGAGCAUACUGACACACAACUACAGAGUUUUGCAGGCUCAGAGCACUGGCUGUCCCCAACCUCAGAGGGGCAGGAUAGGUCCUCCUCCUAGCUGCCAGCUCGAGUCAGUGGGUGGGGGGCUGCCUUUCUGAGCAGGGGUGCAGGGUGUGGGAUUUUUCCUUAAAUGCAUUUUAAGAGCAUCCGAGAGGGGGAGGAAACCCACCAGCAAGGCCGCUGCUCAUUUCAGGCCUGACAGAGCCACUCUUAGGAGCAGAUUGCUGCUCUGUGGGUCACAAAAGUGCCCGCAGAGGCCCCCUGCAUGGAGAUGGAUUUUCCUGCCGUGAGCAUGAGGCGCUCUGAGCAGGGAGCAGAUUCUCGUGGCACCAGGAGCCUUGGGGACAAAAGCCUAGCUAGCAGGAGCCGCCUGGUGCAGGGGCGAGAGGCGGAUGUGGCCCUCCUCCCGGGCAAUGGCGACCUCGGCACAGGCCUGGAACCUCUCCUGGGGUGCUUCUAAAACUGGACUGUCCCUCCGGGGCCAGAUCACCCACCAUGGCCCUGUGGUGUGUCCAGGCAGUCUCGAUUUCAAACCACUCCCCAGCCCAGCAGCAUGGCUCUGCUGUCACUCACUGGGAGUCUUGCUGUCCCCAGGCCAAGGAGACCCUCCCCCCACUCCCUCUCCAGUACCUGUGGCCACUCUUCCUACCCUCUCCAUGGUGAAUGGACUGCCAAUGUGCUGGUCACAGGCUGAAGCGUCCUCUGGGUCACUGGGUAGCAGAAGGAGGCCCUACCCGUCUUGGCUCGGGCCAGCACAACAGAGUGCCCUGGGGUCAAGCAGCAGAGACUCAUCCCCUCAGAGCCUGGGGCUGCGAGUCCUAGGCCAAGGUGGGCAGCUGGCUCCUCCCUAGUCCUCUCGUGGGCUUGCAGACACCGCCUUCUCCCUCCAUGGUCACCCUCUGUGUGUGUCCCGAUCUCUUCUUACAAGGACAUGGUCCUGCUGGGUCAGGCUCCACACUAGUGACCUUGGCAAGCCUUGUUUGUGGCUCUGUCUCCAGACAGUCUUGCUGGGGGUCGACUCCUGCAGGGCUUCGUCAUGCGACUCUGGGGACACGGUUCAGUCCCCACAGUUGGGCCUCCCCUCAGGGAGACCCUGCUCCUGUUUGUCGCUGCGACAUUCCUGACGACUCUCCCUGUUUCCUCCGACUCUUGGCCAGGGCAGGAAGUCGUGGACCCGAUGGCAGUGAGUGGACCCUGGAGCCCUCGUGGGAGGUUGUUGGGCGCAGGUCCACUCAGCAGAGCCCUGUCAGUGCCCUCUACGCAGUGCUGGCUGGUGGCCGAGGUGGAGGUGUCUCACUGUGUCCAGCUCUGCCCCUUGGGGGUGGGGGCUAUAUGGAGAUUCAAAUCCUGACUGCACUGGGCCCUGGGUGUUCAGGUCAGGAGCAGGCAGGACCCAGCACUGCACCCAGACCCCCGUGGGGGCGGCGACCUGAGGAGGUGCAGCACACGGUUCUGCCAGGAGGAAGUGGGAUGGCAGCCUGGUGCUGGAGCAGAGGGCGCGGGACGGAAGCCCUGGCAGCCGGGCAGGAGGCCUGCAGCCCUGGAGACGGGAGCUCAGGCCGCUGCGUCAACUGCCCAGGGCUUCUCGGCUCUCGGGUCCGUACUUCAAACAGGUGCUCCAUGCACUUGGUGGCACGAGGGCCCGGGACCAGCAUUGCCAGUUCAUCUGUGCCGGGCAAUCUUCAAGGGUCCUCAGUGUCACACCUCAGAGGACAACCAGGCCCUUCUGGCUGGGGAUUUGAAUCAGCCUCGGGUCACCACCUGAGGAGAGGAAGGGGGACUGGGAUGAAAAUCCUAGGGAAACAGAAACGUGGCGGUGGGGACCAGGAGGGCCCAGGGGCUGGGGAGACGGAGAGGCCUGCCCCAGGACCUGGGGUGCAGGUGCAGCUGCAGACUGGGCCAGUCUCUCUGGGGCAGCUGUCCCCAGCACUGUCCUGCUGGAGGGGGAAAGGCCCAGAGCAGAGGGGCAUUACCAAGACUGGCACGGAGGUCCCACCUGACACAGAGCGAGCAGGACAGACGCACCCUGUGGCUCCGUCCCAAGGCCCAGUGGGAGGAGAGUCGGCUCAGAGGAGCGGAAUUCAGUAAUCUGGAAACUUCAUUUAGGCUGAACAGCUUCCUCCCUGACGACGGCAGAUAAAUGAGAUGUCACGGUAAUUGGUGCGAUCGGAUUCUCUCCCCCAAUUUAUAAGAGCAAGGUGCCCACAUCAAGAACACUUCAUUAAAGUUUGGAGAAAAUG